UGAAGUCAGGAUUCAAAUCCAUCUGUCUCAAAGGAAAAUAGCCCUUUGGCCAGGAGCACAAACCCUCCUGUGUGCUCCCCUCAUCAGGAGAUUUGGAAUCUAAGAGCCUUUCUAAGUGAUGCUGGCAGAAGAAACAAACCUAAACCACACCCUGAGCAAAACAUCUAAAUUCGUGACACGAUUUAAGUGCUACGCAACCGAUGACAGUCUCUCUCCCUGGGCAAGAACGCAGCAAACCAAUAACACACAUGCCUACACAGAGGAUAACCUGCGCACACCUUCCUCGCUGAGAGCAUGUUUCAGAAGGUCGUCAUUUGUAGAGACGAAGAUGACACAAAGAUAUACGUAUUCCAGAGUCAGACAAUUAAUACAGGUUGAUUAUCGUGGACAUUGCUUCCAUAAACACUGGGCUGCACAUGCCCCUUCGGAUCACUACAUUUGGGAUGCCUAUAAUUAGGUGCAUGCUGAC